rnacentral:rRNA from 1 species
AGGGCACCACCAGGAGUGGAGCCUGCGGCUUAAUUUGACUCAACACGGGAAAACUCACCCGGCCCGGACACCGUAAGGAUUGACAGACUGAGAGCUCUUUCUUAAUUCGGUGGGUGGUGGUGCAUGGCCGUUCUUAGUUGGUGGAGCGAUUUGUCUGGUUAAUUCCGAUAACGAACGAGACACUGGCCUAUUAAAUAGUCGGUAUAUCCAGAAAAGUUUACCGUACUUCUUAGAGGGACAAACGGCGUCUAGCCGCGUGAAAUAGAGCAAUAACAGGUCUGUGAUGCCCUUAGAUGUCCGGGGCUGCACGCGCGCUACACUGAAAGAAUCAGUAUGCGCUUUAACCUAGUCCGGAAGGAUUGGGUAACCCGAGCAAAUUCUUUCGUGCUUGGGAUAGGGAAUUGCAAUUAUUUCCCUUAAACGAGGAAUUCCCAGUAAAUGCGGGUCAUAAGCUCGCGUUGAUUACGUCCCUGCCCUUUGUACACACCGCCCGUCGCUACUACCGAUUGGAUGACUUAG